rnacentral:tRNA from 3 species
GCCCGGUUAGCUCAGUCGGUAGAGCAUCAGACUUUUAAUCUGAGGGUCGCGGGUUCAAGUCCCUCAUCGGGCG